rnacentral:sRNA from 1 species
CAUCAGUUUUUGCGUAUUCCUCCACUGCCCCUCUCCCUUCCUCGAUCUCCUUCUCGUGUUCCUGUGCGUAGUAUUCUCUGUUUAUCGAGCUCUGCGGACCUGGCGCCACCAUCUUUAAGGCCGCAUCUCGAACAACGAUAGGCAGGCCGAAGGACAGAUCCAGCAUGCAACACUGACAACAGUUCUUCAGCCGAGCGCAUGUCAAGCAGAUAUUUGUCCGUUUGGUGCGUGCUGUGCGAUCUGGUUUCCAUUGGAACAUGGUCAUCGGGCGGGUGCAGAUUUUACACUCAGCGGCAUAGUCUUCCUUGAGCAUUUGGACAUAAGGGUUGUCGGGAAGACAUGAUUCGCAGACGGAGGGGAAAUCUGUUGUCUCCCAACC